rnacentral:rRNA from 1 species
UACGGAGGGUGCAAGCGUUGUUCGGAAUCACUGGGCGUAAAGCGCGUGUAGGCGGUCUCUUAAGUCUGGUGUGAAAGCCCGGGGCUUACCCCCGGAAGUGCACUGGAGACUGGGAGACUCGAGUACCGGAGAGGAAGGUGGAAUUCCUGGUGUAGCGGUGAAAUGCGUAGAUAUCAGGAGGAACACCGGUGGCGAAGGCGGCCUUCUGGACGGCUACUGACGCUGAGACGCGAAAGCGUGGGGAGCAAACAGG